GCCGCCCGAGUUCUCGGCUAACACUCACCUCCUAGCCAAGGCCCCGGGCCUCCUGCACCCAGGAAGCGGGGGCAGGGACAUUGCAGGGACGUGCCCUUGGUUUUGAAGGCAUUGGGUGGGUGGCCCUGCGUGUCUCCCAGCAGCCCUGCGUGGGCCCCCAAUGGGCCCUGCUGGGAAGCAGAGGCAUGGCCUUGGCAAUGGCCGCGGAGCCUGGCUGCCCGCUGUGGGGGGCACAGGCUCUGGCGAAAGUGCUUCCUGUCUCCCUGGCAAAGGCGCCCAUCUUCUGAGUGGAUGGGGCACUGGGAGCCACCUGCUGCUGUCCGCCUGCUGGUUCGCCUUUUGGGCAACGUCACUCCUAAGGUCAAAGCCCUCGAACCCGAUGCUGUCACCGGAGAAAGCGGCGCCCUGAGCAUCCUGUCACCGCUGAGUCCCCCGCAGGUGUGAGGCCGGGCAGGGGCGGCAGCGCCCCCCGCAGGGCAUCCCCACAGUGUUCUCGAACCGGGUUCCCCAGGCCGCUCCUGCCAGGCCCUCUUGCUGGCCAGCGUCUGGCGUGGAGAGAGGAGAGCCAGUCCCGGAGGUGCCCGCGUGACGCGUAAGGCCAGGCAGUGGCCGGUCCCGUGUCCCCAGCAGCAGCCCCUGCGCACCCCUGGUGCCAGGUGCAGGGACAGGCGGCCUCCGCUGCUCCCCUGACUCCAUCCUCAGGGUCCCAGUGCCGCAGGAGAGGCCAGGCGCCUGGACAGCAGUGAGAGCAGGACACAAAGUUAUCACAGCCUCAGCAGCUCGACCAUUUGAUAAAAAGGUCACUAUCAUGUUUAUUGAAUAAGGAAGAAAAACACGUCAGGGAAAACAGGUUAACUUAUUUUUCAUCGCAAGGAUGGCAACAAAGUCCAGCUUGUGCCGCCAAACGGUUCACAUGAUCAAACCGCGUACAGCUUCGUGUGACCUGGUGACUACAAACAUUUACCAAAGACAUAAACCUCUUGUAAAAAAGCCGUUUUAAAUAUAGCAAAGCAGUGUCUUCUCGCACAGCAAAGUGAAGGAAGUUUCUACAGAGGAAAGGAAGUGUUGCAUUUGUAAACCCCUUUUCACAUUCUCACAGUGUCCAGCUCCCUGGCUCCCACGCCCGGAGCCCCGCUUCCUGCUCACUGUGUGUCUUGUGCGCGGGAUGGUUCCUGCGGAAACGUAUGGGUGCCUGAGGGGGAGCCCUAGGGAAGGGAAACGGUGAAACGUUGUUCCUUAGAACAAACCCUGAUUUAGCCUCUAACGCAGUGGACGUACUUAGGGCUCAGGCGAUGGCGUCUGGGGUGGGGCCAUGUGACGGUCGAUGGGACCCCGCCCUCCCUGGGGUGAGGGUCCUGAGGGAAGGACAGCGGCUGGAAGCUGUCCCGGCCAGUGCAAUUCACGCGAAGCUUUUUGUGUUUUUGUUUUUAGUAAUAAAAUACUUCCUCGGGAUGGGUGCAUUUUCUGGUGAUGGUGUCAUACAAAACCCACGCGUCUAAAAGGGUAAGAAAUGGAGGUGCUGAGCGA